UAUUUGUCAGUGUUUACUUGGGCCAACUUGCAUCAGACCACCCGUGAAGUCUGAAGGGAAGCCACACCAUUCACCGAGUUUUUUUAUUAUUAUUUUUUUUUAUCAACCCUAUUUAAUACUUUUACUCCUUGCUACAUUAACUGAGCGAGACAUCGAAUGAGAUUGUGAACAAAGGAACGAAGCGCUUCCUCAGACCUCGCCAGUCGCCACCUCAGUACGUGCUUGGUGAUCGACGUGGGAAAACAACCAGCAGUCACUGUGUUGCUACAUGGGACCAUCAGCUCAGACUUCUGAAGGAAGUUUGUGCCAGGCUAUCCCUUGGUAACACUGGUUUGAGGUGAUGCCAGGCACCCCAAAGAAUAUCAAGAGCUCCUGGCAGAAGGAAGAAGCAUAGCCCUGGAGUGUAGGACUACACCGCCACUCCAUUGGCUGAUCUUAGCUGCAGAAGGGGAAAUAUUCUCUUCUCUUGGCCCUUACCCAUGAAAUGCAGGUGCAAUGAAGUGGAACAUGGAGGAGACAAGGGAGAAUGACACAGGCUCAAAGCCGAGUGUGAAGUGGGGAAGAUCAGAGCAGGAGUGUCUGCCAUUCACCUCACUGACAUGUGUUUGUGCAUGGAUGGUAAAGGAAAUCUUGUCCACGGCUGACUGAAGACCUACAGAGAUGCUACUGCUGCUUGAUCUGGAUGCUACAGGUGGCUUG